rnacentral:rRNA from 1 species
GACAGAGGCCGUCGAGCGUUAGGCGGAAUCACUGGGCUUAAAGCGUGUGUAGGCGGAUGCCUAAGUACCUUGUGAAAUCCCACGGCUCACCCGUGGAACCGCUGGGUAUACUGGGCAUCUUGGGCCAUUCAGGGGCAACUGGAACAAGCGGUGGAGCGGUGAAUGCGUAGAUAUCGCUUGGACGCCGACGGUGAAACAGGUUGCGUGGGAAUGAUGC